ACAGAGACUGCAAGCGUUAUUCGGAUUCACUGGGCGUAAAGGGCGCGUAGGCGGUCAGCACAAGUCAGUUGUGAAAUCUCCGGGCUUAACUCGGAAAGGUCAACUGAUACUGUGCGACUAGAGUGCAGAAGGGGCAACUGGAAUUCUUGGUGUAGCGGUGAAAUGCGUAGAUAUCAAGAGGAACACCUGCGGCGAAGGCGGGUUGCUGGGCUGACACUGACGCUGAUGCGCGAAAGCCAGGGGAGCGAACGGGA
rnacentral:rRNA from 1 species